UCCGCCCUUUUCCGGUUGAUCCCGCCGGACCCGACUGCUAUUUGGGUGAGGAUAAACCAUGCGAGUUGUAUGGGAUACCUAAAUUUCCCAUAGCAAACUGCUUAGUAACACAUGAUCAACUUACCCUAUGGAGAAAUAUAACCUCGGGAAACUGAGGAUAAUGCUUCAUAGUUGAAUAGGCUUGGAAAAGUUUUUCAAUGAAAGGGAUAAGAAAAAUGGUUCUUAUCUGCCAUAGGAUAGGAUCGUGCUCGAUUAUGGUUGUUGGUGAGGUAACGGCUCACCAAGCCGAUAAUCGAUAGGGGCCGUGAGAGCGGGAGCCCCAAGAUGGGUACUGAGACAGCGACCCAGGCCUUACGAGGCGCAGCAGGUACGAAACCUCCGCAAUACACGAAAGUGUGACGGGGUUACCCAAAGUGUUCUUAUUGAACUGUGGCAGGUGAGUAAUGUCCCCUGCUAGAAAGGAGAGGGCAAGGCUGGUGCCAGCCGCCGCGGUAAAACCAGCUCUUCAAGUGGUCGGGAUAAUUAUUGGGCUUAAAGUGUCCGUAGCCGGUUUAGUAAGUUCCUGGUAAAAUCAGGUAGCUUAACUAUCUGUAUGCUAGGAAUACUGCUAUACUAGAGGGCGGGAGAGGUCUGAGGUACUACAGGGGUAGGGGUGAAAUCUUAUAAUCCUUGUAGGACCACCAGUGGCGAAGGCGUCAGACUGGAACGCGCCUGACGGUGAGGGACGAAAGCCAGGGGAGCGAACCGGAUUAGAUACCCGGGUAGUCCUGGCCGUAAACGAUGCAUACUAGGUGAUGGUACGGCCAUGAGCCGUAUCAGUGCCGUAGGGAAACCGUUAAGUGUGCCGCCUGGGAAGUACGGUCGCAAGGCUAAAACUUAAAGGAAUUGGCGGGGGAGCACCACAAGGGGUGAAGCCUGCGGUUCAAUUGGAUUCAACGCCGGGAAAGGGCGAAAUUCGCGGCC
rnacentral:rRNA from 1 species